rnacentral:rRNA from 1 species
AGCAGUCGCCGCGGUAAUACGUAGGUGGCAAGCGUUGUCCGGGAUUAUUGGGCGUAAAGGGCUCGCAGGCGGUUUCUUAAGUCUGAUGUGAAAGCCCCCGGCUCAACCGGGGAGGGUCAUUGGAAACUGGGAAACUUGAGUGCAGAAGAGGAGAGUGGAAUUCCACGUGUAGCGGUGAAAUGCGUAGAGAUGUGGAGGAACACCAGUGGCGAAGGCGACUCUCUGGUCUGUAACUGACGCUGAGGAGCGAAAGCGUGGGGAGCGAACAGGAUUAGAUACCCGAGUAGUCCCUGUCUCUUAUAC